rnacentral:rRNA from 1 species
UACGUAGGGUGCAAGCGUUAAUCGGAAUUACUGGGUGUAAAGCGUGCGCAGGCGGCUUUGCAAGACAGAUGUGAAAUCCCCGGGCUCAACCUGGGAACUGCAUUUGUGACUGCAGGGCUGGAGUACGGCAGAGGGGGAUGGAAUUCCGCGUGUAGCAGUGAAAUGCGUAGAUAUGCGGAGGAACACCGAUGGCGAAGGCAGUCCCCUGGGCCUGUACUGACGCUCAUGCACGAAAGCGUGGGGAGCAAACAGG